ACACGGUUGAGACACACAUUCGUGUCUCUGCCCGUGUGGACAAAAAUAGGCUAUUACCAAGCCAUUUUUCCACCCAAACUUGCACAAACCUAAACCAAUCCAAUUGGCACAAAAACAUGGUGUAAUUAGGCAUUCAACCAACCUCAAACAAGCAUAAUUCUUACCAUUUCAAUACCAACCAAUACCAAACAUAUCAAUACCACAAUGUGCCAUUCAAUUCAUACCAAAAACUCAUAAUCUC
rnacentral:lncRNA from 1 species